GGCAAACUGAACAGAAGCCCCAAGGCUUCCGGGAAGCAAACGCGUCACUUUAUGUGAGUAGCACUGCAGUCCUUUCAGUUCGUUUACAAGUCGGCCUCAAAUAUCUUGAGUUUUAUGGUACACCGGCCUCCGCCCGGCUGCGGCUGCCUCUCCGCCCGGCUGCGCCUGCGCCCGGCUGCGGCUGCCUCUCCGCCCGGCUGCGUCUCCGCCCGGCUGCGGCUGCGUCUCCGCCCGGCUGCGUUCUGAUCGCCUGCUUGAAGUUCAGCGUUCCGCUCCUGCGCUAACGAGGAGGCGAGCGUCGGGCCGAGUUGACACCCUCUGGAAAGGGAGAUUUCGCGACAGUAAACUCAAGCUGCAACCUUUUUUUGUGUUUCGUUUCUGUCCGGCGAGUCGGGGUCACAUCGGGGUCGGACGGAGCCAAAGAACCAGUUUCUUAGUAUUUUUUUCUUUCGUUCUUUGCGUAAAUAAACGUCGGCGUGAAUCCGGGAGUCGGGGCUCAGGGAGGAAACUGAAGCUCUGCUGAAGCGCAUUCAAGCCAUAAGCGGUCGGUCGGCACGUUGCCCCUCUGGCCACGCCCACCCUGCGAUGUCGCAGCGUGACGCCUCGGCAUCAGCGCAGCCAAGUGGACCGUCCAGCCUCGGCGGGUCGAACAGAUCAGCCCUGUGCAGCGAGACUCGGCGUUGAUGCGCCGAUAUCAGACAACCUGACGCCGGCCACGCUUCACUCUCUGAUCCUCUGAAGUUCUCUGGACGGAGAAACUCUUGCUUGGUUUUUCGUUCGACAGUCCGAGACCAAAUACUGGAGAUGUGAAAGUAGCCGACUGGUCUGAGUGGGAGCUGUGGUGAUGUGUAAACUUGAAAUAGACCUUCAGAAGGAAAUCAGCUCUGAACCUUCCUCUGAUCAGUUUUCAGAUGAAAUGUUUUGCUCCUUCUUAUCGGAGAAAAGGGACUUGAUGAGGAAAGAGAACUGGAGCUUUGGGAUUUUUCUGUUUGUAUUUUAUGUUUGAGGUUUAGCUUAACUAACCACAUUUUUGGAAUUGGAAGAACAGUUAAAGUAAAUCUGGACUAACAGCCCAGUCCUGUGACCAUGAGGUCAAAGGUCAAGCCCUCCAUAAGUCGAAGUUUUGAGAUAAAAUGUAAAAACGACGGAUUAUAUUUUGGACCUUUAGUCUUUUUGUUUCACAUUUUCAUUUUUGUUUCUCUCUUUCCAACGACGCAUUUCUUUCUUCAAAGUUGGUCGUAAUAUUUUCAUAUCAUUUUUGUCUGCUGAUUUAUGCAUAAUGUUUCCUUAUUCCCGACAUUUCCCUGUUUCGUUAUUUGGAUUUUUUUCCUUCUUAUUCUCGACCUUAUCUCAAAAUUUCAACUUCCCCUAAACCGCAGCCUUCAGACUUCCUCCUCGCUCCUCGACGCUCCUCCGUGUCCGACCCCCUCAGUCAGCCGAGACAUGAAACUCUUUGUGUUGUUUACAUCCAGAGAUUGAAGUGAAGACGCUUCGCAGGUGAAAGAGGCCGUUUGGCGUCUGUCACACCAGGAUUAAAUGCACUCGCUUCUACAGCCGUUGGGAUUGAACUUGUAAUCCGAGGUGCCUGCCGGGACUCGACUUGCCUCCUGUAGAUAGUCUGUUUUUUGUUUUGUUUUUGUUUUUCUUUGGGGUGGGGGUUCAGUCCAAACAACGAGGGGCGCUGGAAACCUUACUGGGAGUAGUUGUAUUUAAAAAAAAAAAAAAAGAAAAAAAAGAAGAAAACAAAAACCUGGAGAAAAAAACUAAAAAGAAACCAAGCUUCUGCAGAGUUCUUUGUGCAACCUGUCUGUUUGUGCCUUUUUUGAUAGUCUUGAUAUCCAAGAUUUGAUGUGCAGCUUUCGUUUAGUCGGGAAUCCGUUGUAAUCGCACUAUAACGCUCUUAAAAAUCGAACACAAUCAAGUCUGGGAGGGGGGGCGGUGGGGGUAUUCCUUACAUUUCGAACAUGUAAAUUUUAAAGAGAUUUGUUGCCACAUUUGUGUGAUUUGUGACUGUACUGAAAAGAUGAAAAAGCAAACAUUUGUAUUUUAUGCGUUAUAUUUUUGAUUUUUUUUUUUUUUUUUCCCCCUUGAGCCUUUUUUUCUCUUUGGAUGUUUUUGUGCAGAUAUUUUUAUUGUAAGAUGAAUGUUACGUUUCUAUCAGACACUAAUCUUGUUUGAGUUGUCUCCAGUGGAACUACUUCACUCUGUAUGUUUUGAUCAGUAUAAACCUUUAAUUGUGUAGUUAACAUUUCAGUAAGAAGAAGAAAAAAU